rnacentral:lncRNA from 1 species
GCGCUGCGCAUGCGCCGGAAGUUGCGGCCGGGAAGCCUGCGAGGUCGGUUCCGCCCGACUUUAACAUGGCGGCGCCCUUUGUCUGCUCUGAAGUGCUGUCCCUGGCCUUCUUGCGACUGUGAUGCACCUCCUUCUGAGGCGCGGUCCGGGACAUGUCAGGUAAUGAGCUGGAGAAGGGGAGCGAAGCUGGAGUUGACACAGACAAACUGUCAGAAAGGAGUAGCCUGGGCUGUGUGGAAAUCUGAGUUGAUGGAACCCGGGCCUUUGCACUGAGCUGCAUCCCCAGACCCCCGCCUUUUUUGAGACAGGAUCUUGCUGAGUCACUUAGUUGCCCGGACUGGCCUU